AGUGAACGCUGGCGGUAGGCCUAACACAUGCAAGUCGAACGGCAGCACAGUAAGAGCUUGCUCUUACGGGUGGCGAGUGGCGGACGGGUGAGGAAUACAUCGGAAUCUACUUUUUCGUGGGGGAUAACGUAGGGAAACUUACGCUAAUACCGCAUACGACCUACGGGUGAAAGCAGGGGAUCUUCGGACCUUGCGCGAUUGAAUGAGCCGAUGUCGGAUUAGCUAGUUGGCGGGGUAAAGGCCCACCAAGGCGACGAUCCGUAGCUGGUCUGAGAGGAUGAGCAGCCACACUGGAACAUAGACACGGUCCAGAAUCCUACAGGAGGCGACGGUGUGGAAUAUUGGACAAUGGGCGCAAGCCUGAUCCAGCCAUACCGCGUGGGUGAAGAAGACCUUCGGGUGUUAAAGCCCUUUUUUUUGGGAAGAAAAGCAGCAGGUUAAUACCCCGCUGUUCUGACAGUACCCAAAGAAUAGGCACCGGCUAACUUGGUG
rnacentral:rRNA from 1 species